rnacentral:misc_RNA from 1 species
GAGAGAAAGGGUUAGGCAUGCUUUGCAACUCCUAAAUUUAAUAUGCAUUUAAAGAUAAUAGUCCUACAUUCUAUUGCUAAUAGCAUGCUGGAAUUUAUCACAACAAACAGUUUUAACAUAGCAAAGAAGCUAUUAAAAUCUGCCAACUGCUGUUAAUCAGAUGUGAAUCCUGCAUUCCCAAGUCAACAAAGGCAUAUGAUUAAAAAUGUCUGAAAUGGCUGUAAGAAUAUUCCACAAGGCAAAUUACCCAUCCCAAUACGACAAAUCAUAUAGCAUUUUCAAUUUCUUUUUACAAAUUUGAAAAUAUAGAUACCUGUAAUCAUCUGCAGCUCCAUG